UACGAAGGGUGCAAACGUUGCUCGGAAUGACUGGGCGUAAAGGGCGCGUAGGCGGUUCAUACAGUCAGAUGUGAAAUUCCUGGGCUCAACCUGGGGGCUGCAUUUGAUACGUGUGGACUAGAGUGGGGAAGAGGGUCGUGGAAUUCCCAGUGUAGAGGUGAAAUUCGUAGAUAUUGGGAAGAACACCGGUGGCGAAGGCGGCGACCUGGUCCUUGACUGACGCUGAGGCGCGAAAGCUAGGGGAGCAAACAGG
rnacentral:rRNA from 1 species